CUCUGCACCAAGGCACCCCCGAAGCGAAGGCGCCGCUGCCCCUCACCAUCUCGAGAU
rnacentral:RNase_MRP_RNA from 1 species